CUUGCAAUCCGCUGACGAGUGGCGCACGGGUGCGUAACGCGUAUGCAACUUACCUCUAACAGGGGGAUAGCCCGUGGAAACGUGGAUUAAUACCCCAUAAUAUUAGGAAUAAGCAUUUUUUCCUUUUUAAAACUUCGGUGGUUAGAGAUAGGCAUGCGUAAGAUUAGCUUGUUGGUAAGGUAACGGCUUACCAAGGCAACGAUCUUUAGGGGGCCUGAGAGGGUGAACCCCCACACUGGUACUGAGACACGGACCAG
rnacentral:rRNA from 1 species